GGUCGUUUGGCCGAGUCGUUAAGGCGUUAGUUUCAGGUACUAAUCUCGCAAGAGGCGUGGGUUCAAAUCCCACAGCGACCA